rnacentral:rRNA from 1 species
AGUGAACGCUGGCGGUAGGCCUAACACAUGCAAGUCGAACGGCAGCACAGUAAGAGCUUGCUCUUACGGGUGGCGAGUGGCGGACGGGUGAGGAAUACAUCGGAAUCUACUUUUUCGUGGGGGAUAACGUAGGGAAACUUACGCUAAUACCGCAUACGACCUACGGGUGAAAGCAGGGGAUCUUCGGACCUUGCGCGAUUGAAUGAGCCGAUGUCGGAUUAGCUAGUUGGCGGGGUAAAGGCCCACCAAGGCGACGAUCCGUAGCUGGUCUGAGAGGAUGAUCGGCCCAACUGGAACUGAGACAAGGUCCAGACUCCUACGGGAGGGAGCAGUGGGGAAUUUUGGGCAAUGGGCGAAAGCCUGACGCAGCCACGCCGCGUGAGGGAAGAAGGCCUUCGGGUUGUAAAACCCUUUUUUUAGGGAAGAAAAUAUGGGAGAUUAACUCCCCACUUUUUGACGGUACCCAAAAAAAAAGCCACGGCUAACUUCGUG